rnacentral:rRNA from 1 species
GAUGAACGCUGGCGGCGUGCCUAAUACAUGCAAGUCGAGCGAACGGACGAGAAGCUUGCUUCUCUGAUGUUAGCGGCGGACGGGUGAGUAACACGUGGAUAACCUACCUAUAAGACUGGGAUAACUUCGGGAAACCGGAGCUAAUACCGGAUGAUAUUUUGAACCGCAUGGUUCAAAAGUGAAAGACGGUCUUGCUGUCACUUAUAGAUGGAUCCGCGCUGCAUUAGCUAGUUGGUAAGGUAACGGCUUACCAAGGCAACGAUGCAUAGCCGACCUGAGAGGGGGGACAGCCACCCUGGGAGUGGGCCCGGGCCCAGGCCCCCGCGGGGGGGGACAAGAGGGGAUUUUUCGGAAGGGGGCGAAGGCCUAGCGGAGCAGCGCGGGGUGGUUGAUAAGUGUUUCGGGAUCUAAAACUUUUUUUAUGGGGAAAAAAAAUAUUGGAAGGAACUUGUCCACUUUUGGAGGGUAAUUAAUAAAAAACCCACGCCUACCCCGGGC